UGGGGAAUAUUGGGGCAAUGGGCGAAAGCCUGACCCAGCGACGCCGCGUGAAGGAAGAAGGUCUUCGGAUUGUAAACUUUAGUCAACAGGGAAGAAAAAUGACGGUACCUGUGGAGGAAGCCACGGCUAACUACGUGCCAGCAGCCGCGGUAAUACGUAGGUGGCGAGCGUUAUCCGGAAUUACUGGGUGUAAAGGGAGCGCAGGCGGACCGGCAAGUUGGAAGUGAAAACCAUGGGCUCAACCCAUGAAUUGCUUUCAAAACUGCUGGCCUUGAGUAGUGCAGAGGUAGGCGGAAUUCCCGGUGUAGCGGUGGAAUGCGUAGAUAUCGGGAGGAACACCAGUGGCGAAGGCGGCCUACUGGGCACCAACUGACGCUGAGGCUCGAAAGUAUGGGUAGCAAACAGGAUUAGAUACCCUGGUAGU
rnacentral:rRNA from 1 species